rnacentral:rRNA from 1 species
CUCACGCACACCUUCAAACAGAUCGGGAGGCUAGUCUCGUAUGCCACCGAGGUGACGGCCUUUGUCGAAGACCGCAAGAUGAAGCGCAUCACGGGGGUUAAGAGCACGGAGCUCCUCAUCUGGGUCACCGUCAGUGACAUGUACAUCGACAAGAACGACCACUCAAAGAUCAGUUUCAAGACGCCCACCGGACUGCGAAGGACCUUCCCUGUCUCCGCCUACGGAAAGGAGGACGACAACAAGCACGACGUGGCCAAAUAA